CCUGCCCCUGACUCUGGGAUAAGCGCUGGAAACGGCGUCUAAUACUGGAUAUGUGACGUGACCGCAUGGUCUGCGUCUGGAAAGAAUUUCGGUUGGGGAUGGGCUCGCGGCCUAUCAGCUUGUUGGUGAGGUAAUGGCUCACCAAGGCGUCGACGGGUAGCCGGCCUGAGAGGGUGACCGGCCACACUGGGACUGAGACACGGCCCAGACUCCUACGGGAGGCAGCAGUGGGGAAUAUUGCACAAUGGGCGCAAGCCUGAUGCAGCAACGCCGCGUGAGGGACGACGGCCUUCGGGUUGUAAACCUCUUUUAGCAGGGAAGAAGCGAAAGUGACGGUACCUGCAGAAAAAGCGCCGGCUAACUACGUGCCAGCAGCCGCGGUAAUACGUAGGGCGCAAGCGUUAUCCGGAAUUAUUGGGCGUAAAGAGCUCGUAGGCGGUUUGUCGCGUCUGCUGUGAAAUCCGGAGGCUCAACCUCCGGCCUGCAGUGGGUACGGGCAGACUAGAGUGCGGUAGGGGAGAUUGGAAUUCCUGGUGUAGCGGUGGAAUGCGCAGAUAUCAGGAGGAACACCGAUGGCGAAGGCAGAUCUCUGGGCCGUAACUGACGCUGAGGAGCGAAAGGGUGGGGAGCAAACAGGCUUAGAUACCCUGGUAGUCCACCCCGUAAACGUUGGGAACUAGUUGUGGGGUCCAUUCCACGGAUUCCGUGACGCAGCUAACGCAUUAAGUUCCCCGCCUGGGGAGUAC
rnacentral:rRNA from 1 species